GACGGAGGAUGCAAGCGUUAUCCGGAAUUAUUGGGCGUAAAGCGUCCGCAGGUGGACAUACAAGUCUGCUGUCAAAGUGCAGAGCUUAACUCUGUAAAGGCGGUGGAAACUGUAGGUCUUGAGUAUGGUAGGGGUAGAGGGAAUUCCCGGUGUAGCGGUGAAAUGCGUAGAGAUUGGGAAGAACACCGGUGGCGAAAGCGCUCUACUGGGCCUGCACUGACACUGAGGGACGAAAGCUAGGGGAGCGAAAGGG
rnacentral:rRNA from 1 species